AGUGAACGCUGGCGGUAGGCCUAACACAUGCAAGUCGAACGGCAGCACAGUAAGAGCUUGCUCUUACGGGUGGCGAGUGGCGGACGGGUGAGGAAUACAUCGGAAUCUACUUUUUCGUGGGGGAUAACGUAGGGAAACUUACGCUAAUACCGCAUACGACCUACGGGUGAAAGCAGGGGAUCUUCGGCCCUUGCGCGAUUGAAUGAGCCGAUGUCGGAUUAGCUAGUUGGCGGGGUAAAGGCCCACCAAGGCGACGAUCCGUAGCUGGUCUGAGAGGAUGAUCAGCCGCACUGGAGCUGAGACACGGUCCAGACUCCUACGGGAGGCAGCAGUGUGGAAUAUUGGACAAUGGGCGCAAGCCUGAUCCAGCCAUACCGCGUGGGUGAAGAAGGCCUUCGGGUUGUGAAGCCCUUUUGUUGGGAAAGAAAAGCAGCAGGUUAAUACCCCGCUGUUCUGACGGUACCCAAAGAAUAAGCACCGGCUAACUUCGUG
rnacentral:rRNA from 1 species